rnacentral:rRNA from 1 species
AGAGUUUGAUCCUGGCUCAGGACGAACGCUGGCGGCGUGCUUAACACAUGCAAGUCGAACGAGGACCAAGGAGCUUGCUCUUUGGAGCCGAGUGGCGAACGGGUGAGUAACACGUGACCAACCUGUCCUAGGGUGAGGGGCAACCCGGGGAAACCUGGGCUAAUACCGCAUGAUGUCUCGUCUUCGCAUGUUGAUGAGAUCAAAGAGGGCCUCUGCUUGCAUGCUCUCGCCCAAGGAGGGAGUCGCGACGUAUCAGCUUGUUGGUGGGGUAACGGCCUACCAAGGCUACGACGCGUAGCGGGUUUGAGAGGAUGACCCGUCACAUUGGGACUGAGAUACGGCCCAGACUCCUACGGGAGGCAGCAGUGGGGAAUAUUGCGCAAUGGGCGAAAGCCUGACGCAGCGACGCCGCGUGUGGGAGGAAGCCUUUCGGGGUGUAAACCACUGUCAGAGGGGAAGAACUGCGCCGGUCCGAAUAAGGCCGGCGUUUGACGGUACCCUCAGAGGAAGCGCCGGCUAACUCCGUGCCAGCAGCCGCGGUAAGACGGAGGGCGCAAGCGUUGUUCGGAAUUACUGGGCGUAAAGCGCGGGCAGGUGGUCUGUUAAGUCGUUUGUGAAAAUCCGGGGCUCAACCCCGCGAAAUGCAAGCGAUACUGGCAGACUGGAGAUCGGUAGAGGCUAGCGGAAUUCCUGGUGUAG